GCACCAGCACCAGCACCAGAAGCAGCAGCAGCAGCAGCAGUAGCAGCAACAGUAGCAGUAGCAGCAGCAGCAGCAGCAGCAGCAGUAGCAGCAGGAGCAGCAACAAUAAUAGCAAUAACGACCACAAUAACGUAUAACAACUGCAGCCAAUAAUAGAGCAUAACAAAAACCGAAAACGGCAUUAAGAACAAGAAGAAGAAGAAUUAAAAACAUGUAACGCAGUACAAGCGAACCAACAGCGGGGGAAACAACAACAAUCAGAAAAAGACAACAACAACCGCAGGAAUGUAACAAUUAACAACAACAACAACCGCAACAAUAACAAAACACCACAGAACAAGGGGCCAGCGGUAGCGGCUAUUUUUUUUUUUUAUCUCUGAAGCCAUGAAGAUAGAUAAGCGAGAAUCACAGCGGAGAUCUAGCGGGGUUGCUUGUCGCCGCCGUGGUGGUGUCAACGUUUGCUAGACACUUGCUGAGAUGUUGGUUGCGUGUUCGAGUUGAAUGGCUGUGAACGGGGGGAGAAAGAAGAAGAAGAAAAAGAAGAAGAAGAAAAACGCAACGGCGGGAAUCGACGCUAAAUUUCGAGUGACUUCUGUCUCCUCUCAGAUUUAGUCACACGAAUUACACACACACACACACACACACACACACACACACACACACAUACACACACAUAUAUAUAAUUAUAUAUAUUAUACUACAUACAUAUAUAUAUAUAUAUAUAUACAUAUAUAUAUAUCACACUAUAUAUAUAUAUAAAUAUAUAUAUAUAGAUAUAUAUAUACAUAUAUAUAUAUAAAAUAUUAUUCAUGGCUGGAGUGAGAGUACUAUGUCACAGAACAUGAACAACCAACUAUUGCUUACAGUAUUGUCGUUUGUGGCAGGUGCUGGAGCGCUGGUCACCCUCGCCCUGGCUGUGGCGACAGACUCUUGGCUAUACACCGUAGAAGUCAUCGAUUAUGAAGUUGAAAACACUACGGUUGUAAUUACGGUGAAAAUCCAUUCCGGACUGUGGAGAGUGUGUAUAGUAAACGGUAAGUAAUACGGAGUGAUCCUUCC
rnacentral:lncRNA from 1 species